ACGCAGAUUGCUCCGAAAACCGCAAAUACUGCCUGAGGUUCGGCUCUUCCCACCUUACUUGGAUUUAUGAUGCUGAUCAGGUUCACAGGUUCAGUCCAUUACCAUCAAGGCAGGAACAUGGCAGCAUCCAGGCAGGCAUGGUGCAGGAGGAGCUGAGAGUUCUACAUCUUCAUUUGAAGGCUGCUAGGAGAAGACUGGCUUCCAGAUAUCAAUGACUACUUGAGAUAGAAUGCUGUCAAGUGUCAGGUCAACUCUAAAGUGUCCAAGGUGUUAUGGGGCUGAGAUGUUGUCAGCAUCCGAUACUCUGCUAGUGCCACAGACAAGGUAGUACACGAAAUCAAUCCUAUUAUAUCAAAGAUCUAUCUGCACUGGUAGGAAUUAAACAAAUACUAUGUGGUCAAAGAGAAGCACACACUCCCAAGCUCAUUGCAGCACAUGCACUGUGCCCUGCAAGAUACAGAAUGAGCCCAGCCAUCCAUUGGUAGAGGAGGACAAGGAAAAUGAGGUGUGUAUACAUCAUGGGGCACCAGUGACAAAGAAGACACAAUUCUGCCAUUUGCGGGGUGUGGGUGGAGCUGGAGUCUAUGAUGGGAACCAAAAUAAAAUUAGCACACGAAAUUAGUUCUACUUCUCAGGACAGUGAGGUCACCGUGGUCUGUAACUGUUUACGGUAUAUUUUAGAAGAACUAAAAAAGUCUGAAGGGUCCUAAGAGAGAAACGACAAAUGCUCAUGACAGUUCCUCAAAAAUAGGUGUGACCACGAUGUGUGGACUAAAAGUAGAAGCAGCAUUACCAACGCUGUCCUUGUCUAUCAGAGGAGACAGGCUAUGAGCAAGAACUCACACGCGCCGUGAGCCGGGCGAGCCUGACAUGCUAGCACUCAGGAGGGCUGAAGCACAGCCUAAGCUACUGUGCGCGACUCUGUCUGGAAAGAGAAAAAGAAGAAGAAAGGCACAGAGGAUAAUUGUGAUGGAUGCUAUGGAGGAGAUGCCCAAGGUAGGCGGGCACACAAGGAGGAGUGAGGAGCUUGCCUUUCUGGGGAUUAACAUUCUUUUGAAUCCCAAACACAGCAAGCCCUGAUUAGCAUGACUUAUUGAGUGAAUGCCGAAAGUGAGCUUUUUAAUUGGGCAUCAUGACAAGUUCCUGGAAGGUUUUGUGCUCAUCCUGAUCUAAGAGUCACAGAAGUAGGAGCUAAGACACCGGGCAACGAGCUAAUUCUGGAACUUUCUGGAAGUCCCAACAGCUUGAAACCAUGCUUACAUUGUUCUGCUUGUAAAGUCCGGGCUGUUCCAAGGAAGUAGUUUACAUGGGAAAGCAUUUUAACAAUCACUUCAUAUUUUAUACAAGUUUUAUAGUUGGAUAUGGCUUUUUAAUUGUAAACAACAAUAAUAGAUUUACUGGAUAAUAUAAGAGGUAAAUGCACAAAAUAAUUUGUUAAUUGAUUUACAUUCAAACAUGUGGUACGUAUUUAUAUGGUAAAAAUCAUUCCAGAGAAAACAUAACUGCUGGAGUGGAGCCUCUUAUCCUGCGUCUUUUGGGUCCCAGGCUUGGCAAGCCUUGGGCAGUCUGCUUUCUGUUCCUGACAGGUCUGCGGAUCCUGUGUUCGGGAUUUAUUUAUUGUAUGUAUGUGAGUACAUGGUAGCUGUCAUCAGACGCAUCAGAAGGCGGCAUUGGAUCUCAUUAUGGAUGGUUAUGAGCCACUAUGAGGUUGCCGGGAAUUGAACUCAGGACCUCUGGAAGAGCAGUCAGUGCUCUAAACUGCUGAGUCAUCUCUCCAGCCUGUUUCUUUCUUUCUUUUUGUUAAAAUCAAACAUUAUAAUUUUCAUGGCAGUUUUGAAAGCUGGAUGUCACUGAGUGACAGUAUAUGCCGUCAUAUGUGUUCAAGCCUAAUUCUACUAAUGGAAGUCACGGAUGUUAGGUUUCAAACCUGGGACAAAUGGCUGAGGAGUUUAUUUAAUACAUCAAAGAAGACAUGGUCACCAGGUUCUCCUGGCUUCCCUCAGUCCCUACCUACUAUAGGGUCCUCCUGGCUGACAUACUCCAUCCGUACCCUAAACUUCCCCAGUCCAGUGGUCUAGGCUGCUCUUCCCCUAUAAUCCAGACAUGUUGGUUAUCUGCUGUCUUUGUACUUUUGGGCCUCCCGGCUGCUGCUGCACUUGGUUCCCUCUCCCUUCUCUCCCCACAUGGCUCAGGGUCAUGUCCACCCACACGACCCAGAUGUCCCUGCCCCUGGCUGUGCUCUCCCACAUGUCUGUAAUAAACUUUCUCCUUCUCUAUACCUAGGAACAACCAUGCUUCCUUUCCUUUCCUUUCCUUUCCUUUCCUUUCCUUUCCUUUCCUUUCCCUUUCUUUCUUUCUGUCUGUCUGUCUGUCUGUCUUUCUCUCUUUCUCUCUUCCUUCCUUCCUUCCCUCCUUCCUUCCUUCCUUCCUUCCUUCCUUCCUUCCUUCCUUCCUUUCUUUCUUCAUCCAACCUCCAGGUUUGCUUAACUGUGAUCAGAACUGGGAAUUUUAAGAGUAAUAUAAGUCAAAUGUAAAAUAAUUGUUUGGUAUAGACUUAUAAAAUUGUAAAUUUCUGGGGCACAGGAGCAAACACUUUUUUUUUCUUUUUUUCCCCGGAGCUGAGGACCGAACCUAGGGCCUUGCACUUGCUAGGUAAGCGCUCUACCACUGAGCUAAAUCCCCAACCCCUAGGAGCAAACACUUUUAAGGCUUUUAAUUAAUGUCAUCAAAUUACUUGUCGGAAAAUGUAAAGUGUGAAGAUGAAUUGAAAAACAUAGAUCCUGGUGAGGAAUUACAUGUGCAUAGCACUGAGGCAGGAGGCGUUAGAAAGCUCAGAGACAGGUCAAGCUUCUGCAUCAUAUUACUUUAUUUGCUUUGUCAAACAAGCAAACAAACCAGUCAGGGAGCCAGCGAGAUGGCUCAGUGGGUAAAGGAGCUUGCUGCUAAGCCUGGGGAUCUGAGUUCAAUUCCUGCAUCACACACAGUAGAAACGACUCUGCCAGUUGUCAUUGUGACCCACACAUUAAUAAAUAAAAAUUUUAAAGUAUGAAUUGGUAU